GCUUACGGCCAUACCACCCUGAACACGCCCGAUCUCGUCAGAUCUCGGAAGCUAAGCAGGGUCGGGCCUGGUUGGUACUUGGAUGGAGACCGCCUGGGAAUACCAGGUGCUGUAAGCU
rnacentral:rRNA from 1 species